AUGUUUAUAGCUACUUUAAUUAUCUGGAAACAGAAAUUAGUAGUUGCUAAAAUGCAUUUGGCACGGUGGAACACCAAGUGUCAGUUGCAUUGUCAUGUUUUCAGUAAUUUAGCAGACAUUUUUUUGGUUGAAAAAGAUGCUUCGAACUCUUGUGUUCGUUAUUUAGUUCAUUAUUUACAACAGUUUUACACGAGACAUGUACAAUAUCUUCCUUUAAUGAACUUUCAAUAA